AAGAUAUCUCGCUGGCAGGGCAAUAUUUUGGUUGACCUCAUUCUCUUCUUUCCUCAAGGCUAUAAGUGAUGUGAUGUAGCAGAAAGGAAUGAUCUGUGGAUGACUAUAUGGCUUGCAAGAGACUGAGAUUGUCACACCAUGAGAGUAUGCAAAGGUCCUCCAUUCUGAUGAGAAAUUUGACAUUGCAAGAGCC